UAGGGAAUCUUCCGCAAUGGGCGAAAGCCUGACGGAGCAACGCCGCGUGAGUGAUGAAGGUCUUCGGAUCGUAAAACUCUGUUAUUAGGGAAGAACAAAUGUGUAAGUAACUAUGCACGUCUUGACGGUAACUAAUCAGAAAGCCACGGCUAACUACGUGCCAGCAGCCGCGGUAAUACGUAGGUGGCAAGCGUUAUCCGGAAUUAUUGGGCGUAAAGCGCGCGUAGGCGGUUUUUUAACUCUGAUGUGAAAGCCCACGGCGCAACCGUUGAGGGUCAUUGGAAACUGUGAAACUUGAGUGCAGAAGAGGAAAGUGUAAUUCCAUGUGUAGCGGUGAAAUGCGCGGAGAUAUGGAGGAACACCAGUGGCGAAGGCGACUUUCUGGUCUGUAACUGACGCUGAUGUGCGAAAGCGUGUGGAUCAAACAGG
rnacentral:rRNA from 1 species